UACAGAGGGUGCAAGCGUUAAUCGGAAUUACUGGGCGUAAAGCGUGCGUAGACGGUUAUGUAAGUCAGAUGUGAAAGCCCCGGGCUCAACCUGGGAAUUGCAUUUGAGACUGCAUAGCUAGGGUGCGGAAGAGGGAAGCGGAAUUUCCGGUGUAGCGGUGAAAUGCGUGGAUAUCGGAAGGAACACCAGUGGCGAAAGCGGCUUCCUGGUCCAGCACCGACGUUCAGGCACGAAAGCGUGGGGAGCAAACAGG
rnacentral:rRNA from 1 species